AAAAAAAUGUAGUUGAAUUGUCCGAAGCGGGGGAGCGGCGGCGUCCGGCAGCGCGAUGCCUCUUCCCCACGGGGCUCGCCCGGGGCCGCUCGCACCGCGCAGUCGGGGCUCGGUCCCGGGGAGCCGGGGCAGUGCGGGGACGGGGCGAGCAGAGCCCCGGCGGUGAGGUGGGGACGUGGGACGGCCUCCUCCUCACUUCUUCUAUCCCAAAGCUGCGUGGGCCGUCUGCGGAGCGCGUCGGGCCUCUGCCGGUUGUCGUUCUCAUCAGUUCCGCGCGUACCCUCGGCGUUCGCUUGUUUGUUCGGGGUGGGGGUUUUGGGAGCCCCGCGGUCGGGGACUUCGGCGGUGCCACAGUCCAAACGGUCCCGGCGGUGCCCCCCGGCCGCCCCUCUCCCCGCCCCGCCGCCCAGCUCCGUGGCUCAGGGCAGAACCCGCACACACCCCUCCCGUGCCCUCCGUUCGGCUGCGAACUUUCCGCCGGGGUGAGUUCUCCUUUAAGAAAAGGCACGGCUCCUUCUGCAUAUUGAACGCUGUUCGUCUGCAGCGCGCAGAUGACGCGGGGCCGGAGCGGGACGGCUGGGGCGUAAAUCACCGCUCUCUGCAAUGGCCCCAGCGGGGAACCCCGUGCCAUCGCCCCAUUUCGCCAUCCGAAGCGCGGUGCGGUGGCGGCGUGCCUUCAAAUUGAGUCGCUUCUCGGUCCGCGCUGGGAAAAGCAGACAUGUGUCCUCAAUUGUGCCGUAUGAAAAACCCGACUAAGAUGCCGCUUUAAACACGCUUUCCAAGAAAGGGGAGAGAGGAGGCUGCGGGUGGGGAGGGGGACGCUCGGGUGUGCCCCCCCUCACCCCCCUUCCCCCCCUCCCCCCCCCGGCACCACGAGGCUUGGGAGAGCGGCACAGCCCUGUCCCGGUGCCCACGUCGAGGUGCGCAGAGCCUCUGCUGAAGACACCGAAUCGCCCUCGCCCUGCGCCUGCGGACAGACCUCGGUGGAGAGCGGCGGCAGAACCCAACCGCGCAAUUUCUACCUGCAAGGCAGCAGAGUGUACAGCCCCCCACUCCCACCCCGCAUCGAACGCAGCCAUAACUCAAUGCAAACUGCGGGGAGAGGCGUUUUCCACGUGGCAGCAGAUGAUGGAGGAGAUGUCCCACUCCUCUCCGCUGCUCGUACCGCGUGGGGUCGUUCCCUCCGGCUGCGGCGGUGCCGUCCUUCUCGCAGAGGUGCAGGAAACAGAUUCCCACCUUUGGUCUCCCACCGAAGCGAAUUGCUUUUUGGCUCAGCGCUCAUCCUAACCAACUUUCUCCCCCGUGUUUAUUUCACUGGUUGCGGCCGGCAAAGAAAAUCAAAUAAAAUAACGCUGAAACGUGCUUGAGUUCUUGGAGGCACUUUGUCGUCGAGGCAGCUCUCACGCGUGAGCUGAUUGCCGGGAUCUAUUUGCAUGCAGCUGCGAGCCCGCGGCCCGGCUGCUGACCGCCGCGCAUAAAGGGCCGCGGGGCCGCCCCAGCGGGGCACGGCCCGAGGGCGGGGGCAGGGGGCGGCCUCGCCCCGCGCUCCUGCCGGGGGGAUAACUGCC
rnacentral:lncRNA from 1 species